CAAUUUUUCAAACCUCUCCAUUCGUGUGGAUCUCAAAGCCAGUCUCGCUUCAUUUUGCACAGCUUGUGGAAAUAUGUAACAUUUCUGUGGUGCAGCAGGGUGGGAGGCAGAAAAUCUGGAUCUUAUUACCAGUUUGGCCAUGGUCUUCCUAUGUGAACACGGUUUGGAUACUUCUGGGCAACCUGAAGCUUCUCUGUGGGACAGAACAAGUGGCUAUGGCUGCUCAUGCUCAGACCCCCAGAUGUCCUGGGAUGUGGCUGCACAGCAG
rnacentral:lncRNA from 1 species